rnacentral:sRNA from 1 species
UUUUUUGUUAUAAUGUA